ACGGAUCGCUACUUUAGCUUGCAGCACCGGUGAGGGUCUGGUAGGGUUAAGGGUUGGACGGCGACCACGAUCGAGGCGGCGGCGGCCGCACCAAAAGGAGGCGAGUGUAGCACGCAGGUCCGACGAACGGGCUAACCGGCGCAGGUUUGAGAAGCUGCGGCCGUGUUAGUGUGACGAGUCGGGGCGGCCGGCUCCCGUCCGAGGACCGCGCCUCGUUCAGGCGACGAGCGGCGGCCACAUUGAGGUGACGAGCGGCGGCAGUACUCGGGAGAGUGAACAGACCCCGACCCGUGGCCACGUCAGGUUCUUUUAGUUAGAUCAGUUUCUUCUGCUUGCGGUUACCUCAAACGACCAACCAACGACGGGAGACCGAUACAGUAACGGCAGAACGACGCUACUGAAGCGGCAGUCCUUGCUCGCGCCGUUCCACUCUUAGCUCUAAACCGUUUCCCUUAGCCCCUUCUUCAAUGGAACAACGCAGUUCUAAGCGCGUCGGUGCACCGUGAGCUAACUCACCCAGAGGGCCGACUUUGCUAUGCUGGGCCAGCAUAUCCUAAAAGAAGGCACCUCCUUUGCCACUCCUUGGUGGGGACGGGGGCCGGGGGCGUACUAAAAGGACGCAUUAACCAGCUCGUCGGCUCGUCAGUCGUCAGUUAAGUAAGCGUCCGAAGCGGAAAGAGGAGGCGCAUGCUCGUUAUGGCCGAUACGGAGUCCGAGUGUACUUCGAGUCGACGAAGGAGGAGGAGGAGGAGCAGCGACAAUCGGAACGAUAGACGUCGCAGCCGGUCGUCAAGCAGAUGAGGUCGAAGCGGCCGCGGUUGUAGUGGGAGCCGCCGCGCCGGCGCCAGUGGUGUUGGCCAGAAGAGCUCGAGUGGUUGCCGUGCGAGGCGGUCUUCCGGGUGCGGUAGGUGGGCCGCGGCAAGGCGAAGGCGCUCGGCCGCCGCGCCUUGGCCUGCCACGCCAGCAAGAGCCGGAGGAAGCACAAGCCGUAGGAGACGGGGCUGUGGUUGUUGACGCCGGUACCGUAGCAGGACAAGCAGCGGGGCCCCCCGAAGUUGAAGAGGCGGCGCAAGGGCUCGGUUAUAGAGCCGGAACAAUUGUUGUCGUGGUUGCCGCGGCGGCGCUUGGUGUAGAAGCCGCAGCUUGAGCUGUGGCUGGUCUUGUUGCUCAAGGCGCUGUAGCUGCCGUUGGUGCAGCCGUAGCUGCAGUUGCCCGAGUGUAGGGAGCGCAGGUCGUCGCGGCCGAUGAAGCCGCUGCUGCCGUAGGAGGUGUUGGACUGCGAGCGUUCGCCGUGCCGCUACGUCCACACCCACCUGAUGCUGCCGCUUCUCUUUGACUAGUGGCACCGGUACCGACGGGACCCUUGCCGGUUUGGGCACUUCGGCGACGAGAGGUUCUGGACGCUGGAGAGUUGCCACGAGUGCCUGUGCCGCAUGCACCCGAAGAGCAGCCGGUGCCCAAGGAAGUUGAGCGUUGUGAUGCAAGAACCGACCUCAAAGCGCUACCUGCCUGGACGAGGCCGGUAGCUGUAGAGGUUCGACGGUUUCGAGGGAGCGAAGCCGGACUUCGCGGUAGGGUUCGAGCGUGUCUAGUAAGGUGGGCAUCGCUGCUGUCGCAAGUAGAAACGGCGCCCGUGGGAGUAGCAGGAGGAUUAUGCUGCCGCCGAGUUCAUGUCGCUCGAGGCCCUUCUAACCCUCCAGCUCAAGCCCGGCGUGGCCAAGAGGAUGUUCCUAGACAAAGCGCGGUGGCCACCCAAGUUCCUCUUCUUAGACGACCCACACCCUCCAAAGCCCUCCCAUAUGUUUCCCCACGAUGGCCGCGGGUUUGACCUCUAGCGGCACUUCUUCCACAGUGUACUGAGCUUUGUUCCGUACUUUCUCAAGUAGCGGCUCCAACACUCGUAACCCGCUGAUGUUGUAGCGUUAGAGCGAGUCAAUGUACCAAUAACGUCCGCAUUUCCACUUAACGAGAACCAUAUGCUCAUGUACAGUUUACCCUCGGAACUAUCCGUGAACAUACCGCUACCACUCUUCGGCCAAGAUCUAACCCUGUUUUCCAAGGCCUAGUAGUUCCCUUAACGAAGCCCCAACGAGAUGGAGGUACUCCUCACACUCUUUCAUUAGUAUGUGGCCCUGUAAUUUCGGUCAUUACACGAGGAGCUGUCACUCUACUUACCAGCUGAGCCGCUGAAGCCUGACCGUUCCAACAUACUGGCGCCGCGGUUGGGUGUUUGGUGUGUACACCAACCUUGGUAUCCUAUGGAUCGAGGUCUCGAGCCAGCGUGAUCGUUCCGUUGGGGGGACUGGCUGCACAAGCGGAAGCCGUAUAAGGAAGAACUCCAGUGUACACCUGUUUCCGGGUAAUCCGUUUUAAGUGUCCCGCUUGUUGAUUACGACCAGCUGACCCAUGAACUCGUAACCGUGUCUCCUAGUGAUCGACUUUGGCACCUAUGGUUCGAAGUAUCGAUGCUACGGCCACUCCGAACGGAUCGUAACUUCGAUCCUAAUAAUACGAGCGUAGGAGAGAGGUUAAGUUCCGGUCCUUACGCUGUCCAGCACUCCAUGGAAUUACUUCUGCACGUUGAUGGCCUCGAAUGCAACUGCUUACUCUCGAAGGUCUAAGAACGCGACUACGUCUUGCUUCCCAAACUGAGCAUGUAGUACAGAAUGGGAAGUAGCUACCUUUCACACUGGUGGAACAGGUCGGAACAUCUCCUUUGUACUGUAGCCAACACUACACACACUAAAAGGGAUACAUGAUUAUACAAAGAGAUACGAACUCGUUUACGUGCUUUAAUAUACCGACGAUAACUCCAUACACAUUGUGCAGUACACUACUUCACGUAGAGAAUGAAGUGACAAGUCUUCGUACACCUAAUUCAAUGUCGUUUUAUUUGAACCGAUAAACUCUAUCAAUCGUUCGAUUCUUUCCGAAAUACAUCUCAACAAUUUUAUCUGACUUAAAAGAAGCCAUGGAGGGUGGGAUGGGGGGUUUCUUUCAAACGUGCUUGGAAUUUCUAUGAAUUUUACUCAUCAAAACCUG
rnacentral:rRNA from 1 species